rnacentral:tRNA from 2 species
GCGUCCUUAGCUCAGAUGGAUAGAGUACCUGGCUACGAACCAGGCGGUCGGAGGUUCGAAUCCUCCAGGACGCGCCA